GGGUGUGUAACUCAGAUGGUCAGAGUAGUCGCCUUUUAAGCGAUUAGUCGUGGGUUCAAGUCCCACCACACCUA
rnacentral:tRNA from 1 species